rnacentral:rRNA from 1 species
CCUACGGGUGGCAGCAGUAGGGAAUAUUGCUCAAUGGGCGAAACCCUGAAGCAGCAACGCCGCGUGGAGGAUGAAGGUUUUCGGAUUGUAAAACCCUUUUGUUAGAGAAGAUAAUGACGGUAUGUAACGAAUAAGCACCGGAUAACUCCGUGCCAGCAGCCGCGGUAAUACGGAGGGUGCACGCGUUACUCGGAAUCACUGGGCGUAAAGAGCGCGGAGGCGGGAUAGCAAGUCAGAUGUGAAAUCCUAUGGCUUAACCAGAGAACUGCAUUUGAAACUGGGAGUCUAGAGUAUGGGAGAGGUAGGUGGAAUGCUUGGUGUAGGGGUAAAAUGCGUAGAGAUCAAGAGGAAUACUCAUUGCGAAGGCGACCUGCUAG